UCCGGCCAGCCGGAUCCAUUAGCGGGGAGGGUGGGGUCGCUAGAUCCGGAGGCCCUGGUCUCCCUGUUGGCUGAUGCGGCGGUUAUA
rnacentral:pre_miRNA from 1 species